AGAGUAGGCGAGGCAGUUGCAGAUUAGUUAAAAAAAACUAAUUUGAGGAAAGUCCGGGCUUCCCAAAGACCAAACUUGCUGGGUAACGCCCAGUGCGUGCGAGCGUGAGGAUAGUGCCACAGAAAAAUACCGCCAAAAUUCACUAAACAGUAAUCAGUAAACAGUAAACAGGAAAUACCUGAUAACUGAUAACUGAUUACUGAUAACUGAAAAUGGUAAGGGUGCAAAGGUGAGGUAAGAGCUCACCAGCAGCAUCGAGAGGUGCUGGCUCGGUAAACCCCGGUUGGAAGCAAGGUGAGAGGAACUACGGUUGGUCUUUUACCAGUUCCGUUUUUGAGAGCCGCUUGAGGCGUUUGGUAACAAACGUCCCAGAUAGAUAACUGCCCUUGAACAGAACCCGGCUUAUGUCCGACUCUCUCC
rnacentral:RNase_P_RNA from 1 species